GAAGCGCUGACUAAUAAAUUGAAAGCCCUUGUGGGUCUCAAAAGAAAAUACAUUAAACUUCACUGGUUUUUUUAGUACAGCGUAACCGAAGAAUUAUUAGUUUUCAUUAAUGUAUUUCCUAAAAUCUAAAAAGUGCACGCGCGCUAUUCAGAGAGAACGGGCGGCCGUCUCCUGGCCGCUCGAUCUCCCUCCUAUCGAUGCGCGCUUAGCCAGGUGCCACAUGGUCGAAAGACCUUCCCCUUCUGGCCACUCCGCCGCUGACCCAAACCUCGUCUGGCAGAAUCACACCUCACCACAGUCUGCGGGCAUCUGCCCCCACCCUCUCCCCGUCCCCGUCCCCUACCCCCUCCCCUUGUCACGAGAGAAGAGCAGAGUGGAGAGGAGGGAGAUCGAGCGACCAGACUAGAUGAGGCAGCCGACAGCGACAAGGGAUUCUUUGACCUGGGUGCCCCUCCAUGGCGUGCGCUUCUGCUUCGAUUCGUGCCCCCGACGCCAUGCCUGGUGCCCCCAAGGAAGGUGGAACCUCUAGAUGUGGCCACUGCGGUUGGGACAGAAGGAAGCACGAGCUUGCUCUAGCUGGGAGAGGGCAGGAGGAGGAAGCGCGGGUGGAGGUUCGUGAGGAAGAUUGCUAGGAAAUGGAGUUCUUCCGUGUCCGCUAUUUGCUCUUUGCUCGGUGCAUUCAUGUUGAAUCUAGCAAGACGAGCACAAAUUGGAGAGCUGCCGUUUCUUUGGUCGCGGUGCCACUGAUUUUUCAUCCAAAGUUGCACACUCUCCAGCAUAGUAAUGGAUGUAAUCAGGAUGUCUUAUAUUCAGCUACUUUGUGUUUAAUUGAUUUGUAAUAUAGUCUAGUUGCACCAUAUAUUGAUGUUUAGUUGGCUUGUAAUGUAAUCUAGUUGCACAUACAUUGAUAUUUAGUUGGCAACAAGACUAGUUGCACA